CCUGACGACUAUAGCGAGUGGGAACCACCUGAAUCCAUGCCGAACUCAGUAGUGAAACCACUCAGCGCCGAUGGUAGUGUGGGGUCUCCCCAUGUGAGAGUAGGUCAUCGUCAGGC
rnacentral:rRNA from 1 species